CCUACGGGGAGCUGCAGUGGGGGAUAUUGCACAAUGGGGGGAACCCUGAUGCAGCGACGCCGCGUGGGUGAAGAAGCGCCUCGGCGCGUAAAGCCCUGUCAGCAGGGAAGAAAAUGACGGUACCUGAAGAAGAAGCCCCGGCUAACUACGUGCCAGCAGCCGCGGUAAUACGUAGGGGGCAAGCGUUAUCCAGAUUUACUGGGUGGAAAGGGGGCGCAGACGGCGAUGCAAGCCAGGAGUGAAAGCCCGGGGCCCAACCCCGGGACUGCUCUUGGAACUGCGUGGCUGGAGUGCAGGAGGGGCAGGCGGAAUUCCUGGUGUAGCGGUGAAAUGCGUAGAUAUCAGGAGGAACACCGGUGGCGAAGGCGGCCUGCUGGACUGCAACUGACGUUGAGGCCCGAAAGCGUGGGGAGCAAACAGGAUUAGAUACCCCUGUAGUC
rnacentral:rRNA from 1 species